GACGAACCGUGCGAACGUUGUUCGGAAUCACUGGGCUUAAAGGGCGCGUAGGCGGGCCGCCAAGUCAGGGGUGAAAUCCUCCGGCUCAACCGGAGAACAGCUUUUGAUACUGGCGGCCUCGAGGGGGGUAGGGGCAUGUGGAACUUCCGGUGGAGCGGUGAAGUGCGUAGAUAUCGGAAGGAACGCCGGUGGCGAAAGCGACGUGCUGGACCCCUUCUGACGCUGAGGCGCGAAAGCCAGGGGAGCAAACGGG
rnacentral:rRNA from 1 species